GAUGAAGAACGUAGCGAAAUGCGAUAAGUAAUGUGAAUUGCAGAAUUCAGUGAAUCAUCGAAUCUUUGAACGCAUCUUGCGCUCCGUGGUAUUCUGAGGAGCAUGCCUGUUUGAGUGUCAUUAAAUUCUCAACUACACUGACUUUGAAUUGGUGUGGCUUGGAUUUGGGGGGAAAAUUGUUGUGGGCUUUUUGUAUAGUCUGCUCCCCUGAAAUUGAUUAGCGGUACCUUUGUGGAACUGUCUACAGGUGUGAUAAUUAUCUACAUCUUAGACAUCUGCUGGAAUGCUGCUUUCUAAACCUUACUUGUAUUGACAAUCUUGACCUCAAAUCAGGUAGGACUACCCGCUGAACUUAAGCAUAUCAAUAAGCGGAGGA
rnacentral:misc_RNA from 1 species